AUUGAAAGGGGCAGAUACUCAGCAGCUGAGCCUUGGGAGCGCCAUGAUUGUGAGGGGCGGACCGCUGAGCAGUUCGUCGGCGCCAUAAUCAUGAGGGGCAACGCACGUCUGCUAGCCUUUCGUCGGCGCCAUGAUCGUGCGUAGCAAACGCACUUCCGUUGUGCUGUGACGCCAUGAUUGUGAAGGGUAGAUGCCCUCACUCAAAAACGGUUAUGGGGACGGGAACCAGCAUCGAAGAGCCAACGCUGUGGGCACCGUGAUCUUAAGGGGCAGGCAAACUUCCGCUGAGUGUUUCCGCGACGCCAUGAUUGUGAAGGUCAGGCAUACGUCUCCCCACCCCCAUCCCGUCCACCACUUCCGGAGGGGUUGCCCUGGAUCCGAAUAGACCGCCUUCAUCUGGAGCAAAAUCACAUGAGGAAGUUGGGGCUAGCUUCUCACCCAGCUUGACAAAGCUGUACGUUUCUGUAAAGGUGGACACCGGCUUCAACCCCAGAACUUAUGUUGUCGUGUUUUCUCGGGUUACUAUGUAUACACACACACACACACAUACAUACAUACAUACAUACAUACAUACAUACAUAUAUAUACAUACGUAUAUAUGUACACACAUACGUACUCGGGUUACUAUAUAUAUAAUAUAUAUAUAAUUUCCUAGCAACUACCACAUACUGAACGCCUGCUGUGCCAGGCGCCCUGCGGGCAUCUCACGUGCCCCUCACCGCAAACCUGAGGUCACUACCACGGCCACCUGUUCGGGAGCCACUGCAGGUGCACUGCUUGAAGCCAGGAAGUGCCCUUAGCGGGAGCGACUGCGGGUUAACCGACCUGAUGGGAGGACGUGCUCAAUCUCGAGGCGGCAUCUCAUCCCCCUUUUCUUUGCAAGAGCCUGGUCUGACAACACAUAAACCACUUUCCCAGGAAACAACGGAAUAAUAUACUCCGGGCCCUCUGACGGCACAUGGAGUUUGGCACCCCGGGUCCUGGUGUCUUCACCUGGGAAAUUAGUCUAGAACUCAUUCUAGAACUAGUUCAAGACUCAGGUGUGGGGAGAUUCUGAAAUGCCUGGCACGCGGUCAGCACGCCCCUGGCUGGAGCUGAGCUUGCAGGCAGGCAAAGGAGCCCGUUGCGCCUUCAGAGCUUUUCUCUCCGGGGUAACCUGCCGUCGCCUGCGCGUGCGGACCGGCGCGGGCUCGCGUUAACACGCCCGCUGGGGGCCGGGGCCGGGGGCGGCCCGGCUGGUGCAGCGCCCACCGCGCCAGGUGCACCGCUGCACCGCGCGCUUCCGGAGCGGGCUGUUCGCACCCACGGGGGCCAAGAAGCAAACCACCUCAAGAAAUUGAAGAAUUGGGAGUCACAGGGAAACUGGGCCAAUAAAGGAAGACAAGUGAAAAGGUAGCAUUUUAUUGUCCAGGAUAAUUUUGGUUAGACACGAUUUUUGCCCUCAGAGCUGAUGGAGAAUGGGACUCCACUACCUCAUAGUCCAGUUGGUUCGCUGUAUUCAGCAACGCCCCAGGUUUGUUUCUAGGUUGGGUUUAAAUGUUUACGUAAAUUCCAGUUAACAUACAGCGUGAUAUUAGUUUCAGGGAUACAGUGCAGUGAUUCUCCCUUAUUUUUAAUGAUUUUUAUGACAUUUACCUACGCCCGCUCCGGUUCCUCAGAGAUAAAGCAAUCCACCUCCCAUUUGCUUGCGUGUAACUGUUACUUUUCAUUGGGGUGAUUGUUCAUGGGCCGGUGGCCCCUGACGAAAAAGAUCUUCCUCUCCCAAACGGGUCCUUGUUUUCAGCUCAGAAUGAGUAAGGAGGAUUCCCAGUCAUACCCUCACGUCCACCUCUCCCCGCGCACGAAAUGAACCAGAGUUCAAGGGUGGCCACGGGGAAAGGGAGGGGCUCUUUCCACCCCGCCUUGCGGACUGGGCGGUGCAGCCUCUCCUCGGUGGGAGUAAAAACGAGGAGCACGCGCUGCGCUCAGCCGGGACGAGGGCGCAGGACCAAGAGCCGGAUCUCGAAGCCGUGCACCGGAGCGGCUUUGACGGGAGCGGCAAGCUGGGCACCCCUCCCCUUUGGCCCCGCGCAGGCGGCCGGCUCCUAAAAAGCCCAGCCCCUUAGCGCCCCGGUGACCUUUUCACCGCCUGCAAAGUACAGUUUGUGCAAAACUCGGAUGCUGGACGAAGCGCUGGUGUAGGUUACACCCUAAAUGGUGGGAUAUACCUUUCGUGGGGCUUUUAAUGAUUAAAAAAAAGAUCAUGUUACGGAUUGUUUUGGCCAGAUACUUUUCAGCAUCCAUCAACGGUCCUUCCAUUGGUAAAUAAAGAAGAUCAAACUACAUUUCUUUUAAGAUGAAAAGUUUAUUUUGCCUUCUGCCUAGAAGCAAAACUAGUGAAAAUUAAAGUAUAAAAAUAAAUACAAUUUACAUUAAUGGGCAUUCCACUCAAAGUAAAAGUAACAAAAAUAAUGUAUAUAAAUUAAAAAUCCAUCAAAAGCACAAAACGAUGUCUGGCACUUUUAUGAGGAAAAGCUGUGAACAUUAAAAUAUGUGUAAAACACACAGGCUUUUAUCUUUAAAAAAAAACAACACUCAAGUUUGUCAACCUUAAUCUAAAGCUAGUUUUAAC